UGCCGAUAGCGUUAAUUUAGAAUGAUCGAUACUAAGUAUCCUAAUUCUAAGUUAAUAAUUUUUGUUGGCAGGACAGUUUAGUUGGGGCGACUACCUUUGAAUAAGAAACGAAGGCGAGCUUAUGGUAUUAUUAAAAUCUCAUUAGCCUGACAGUGAGGGGGACACUCCUAGCUGGCACAAGGACCACAUAUUAAUAUGGGGCUCCUAUGUGGGCGAUAGUGACCCGAUAUGAUUAUCCAAGAUAAAUAUCGAAAGCGGAUAAAAGCUACCGUAGGGAUAACAGCGUAAUAUUGUCGGAGAGUUCUUAUCGAGGACAGUGUUUGCGACCUCGAUGUUGAAUUGCGGUGCCCUGGUGCUGUAGAAGGUACCUUAGGUUGGUCUGUUCGACCAUGAAAACCGUACGUGAUCUGAGUUAGACCGG
rnacentral:rRNA from 1 species